AGUGAACGCUGGCGGUAGGCCUAACACAUGCAAGUCGAGCGGCAGCACUGUAAGAGCUUGCUCUUACGGGUGGCGAGUGGCGGACGGGUGAGGAAUACAUCGGAAUCUACUUUUUCGUGGGGGAUAACGUAGGGAAACUUACGCUAAUACCGCAUACGACCUACGGGUGAAAGCAGGGGAUCUUCGGACCUUGCGCGAUUGAAUGAGCCGAUGUCGGAUUAGCUAGUUGGCGGGGUAAAGGCCCACCAAGGCGACGAUCCGUAGCUGGUCUGAGAGGAUGAUCAGCCACACUGGAACUGAGACACGGUCCAGACUCCUACGGGAGGCAGCAGUGGGGAAUAUUGGACAAUGGGCGCAAGCCUGAUCCAGCCAUACCGCGUGGGUGAAGAAGGCCUUCGGGUUGUAAAGCCCUUUUGUUGGGAAAGAAAAGCAGCAGGUUAAUACCCCGCUGUUCUGACGGUACCCAAAGAAUAAGCACCGGCUAACUUCGUG
rnacentral:rRNA from 1 species